rnacentral:rRNA from 1 species
ACGCCUAACACAUGCAAGUCGAACGCAGUAGCAAUACUGAGUGGCAAACGGGUGAGUAUAAUGUGGGUAUCUGCCUUUUGGUUUGGAAUAACACGGGGAAACUUGUGCUAAUACCGAAUAAGCCUUCACAGGGAAAGUUUUAAUGCCAAAAGAUGAGCCCGCACUUGAUUAGCUAGUUGGUGAGGUAAUAGCUCACCAAGGCAAUGAUCAAUAGCUGUUCUUAGAGGAAGACCAGCCACAUUGGGACUGAGACACGGCCCAGACUCCUACGGGAGGCAGCAGUGGGGAAUCUUGCACAAUGGGGGAAACCCUGAUGCAGCGAUGCCGCGUGAGUGAAGAAGGCCCUUGGGUUGUAAAACUCUUUCGUCGGGGAAGAAAAUGACUGUACCCGAAUAAGAAGGUCCGGC